rnacentral:rRNA from 1 species
AUUGAACGCUGGCGGCAGGCCUAACACAUGCAAGUCGAGCGAGCGGCGGACGGGUGAGUAAUGUAUGGGGACUGCCCGAUAGAGGGGGAUAACUACUGGAAACGGUGGCUAAUACCGCAUACUAUCGGAGAACCAAUCUGGGAUUAGCUAGUAGGUGGGGUAAAGGCUCACCUAGGCGACGAUCUGUAGCUGGUCUGAGAGGAUGAUCAGCCACACUGGGACGGAGACACGGCCCAAACUCCUACGGAGGCAGCAGUGGGGAAUAUUUGACAAUGGGCGCAAGCCUGAUGCAGCCAUGCCGCGUGUAUGAUGAAGGCCUUAGGGUUGUAAAGUACUUUCAGCGGGGAGGCGGUAUCUGCAGAAGAAGCACCGGCUAACUCCGUGCCAGCAGCCGCGGUAAUUC